rnacentral:rRNA from 1 species
CCUACGGGAGGCAGCAGUGAGGAAUAUUGGUCAAUGGGCGCUAGCCUGAACCAGCCAAGUAGCGUGAAGGAUGACUGCCCUAUGGGUUGUAAACUUCUUUUAUAUGGGAAUAAAGUGCAGUAUGUAUACUGCUUUGCAUGUACCAUAUGAAUAAGGAUCGGCUAACUCCGUGCCAGCAGCCGCGGUAAUACGGAGGAUCCGCGCGUUAUCCGGAUUUAUUGGUUUUAAAGGGCGCGUAGGUGGAUUGUUAAGUCAGUUGUGAAAGUUUGCGGCUCAACCGUAAAAUUGCAGUUGAAACUGGCAGUCUUGAGUACAGUAGAGGUGGGCGGAAUUCGUGGGGUAGCGGUGAAAUGCGUAGAUAUCACGAAGAACUCCGAUUGCGAAGGCAGUUCACUGGACUGCAACGGACACUGAGGCUCGAAAGUGUGGGUAUCAAACAGGAUUAGAUACCCGAGUAGUC